rnacentral:rRNA from 1 species
CUCCGGUGAUCCCUAAGGGGACCUGACUGCUAUCGGAUUGGUACUGAGCCAUGUGAGUCAUUGUAGCAAUACAAGGCGGACGGCUCAGUAACACGUAGUCAACCUAACUCGUGGACGUGGAUAACCUCGGGAAACUGAGAAUAAACCACGAUAGACCAUAGUGCCUGGAAUGGCUUAUGGUCCAAACAGUUUACUGCCAUGGGAUGGGACUGCGGCCUAUCAGCUUGUUGGUGAGGUAAUGGCCCACCAAGGCGAUUACAGGUACGGGCUCUGAGAGGAGAAGCCCGGAGAUGGGUACUGAGACACGGACCCAGGCCCUAUGGGGCGCAGCAGGCGAGAAACCUUAGCAAUGUGCGAAAGCACGACUGGGUCAGUCCGAGUGAUUCCUGAUAAAGGAGUCUUUUGCUUGUCCUAAAAGCACAGGUGAAUAAGGGGUGGGCAAGUCUGGUGUCAGCCGCCGCGGUAAUACCAGCACCCCGAGUGGUCGGGACGAUUAUUGGGCCUAAAGCAUCCGUAGCCGGUUCUGCAAGUCCCCCGUUAAAUCCAGCUGCUCAACAGAUGGGCCGCGGAGGAUACUACAGAGCUAGGAGGCAGGAGAGGCAAGCGGUACUCAGUGGGUAGGGGUAAAAUCCGUUGAUCCAUUGAAGACCACCAGUGGCGAAGGCGGCUUGCCAGAAUGCGCUCGACGGUGAGGGAUGAAAGCUGGGGGAGCAAACCGGAUUAGAUACCCGGGUAGUCCCAGCCGUAAACGAUGCAGACUCGGUGAUGGGUUGGCUUCGCGCUAACCCAGUGCCGCAGGGAAGCCGUUAAGUCUGCCGCCUGGGUACGUACGGUCGCAAGACUGAAACUUAAAGGAAUUGGCGGGGGAAGCA